rnacentral:rRNA from 1 species
GUGGGGAAUUUUGGACAAUGGGCGCAAGCCUGAUCCAGCCAUUCCGCGUGCAGGAUGAAGGCCUUCGGGUUGUAAACUGCUUUUGUACGGAACGAAAAGGUUCUCUCUAAUACAGGGGGCUGAUGACGGUACCGUAAGAAUAAGCACCGGCUAACUACGUGUCAGCAGCCGCGGUAAUACGUAGGGUGCAAGCGUUAAUCGGAAUUACUGGGCGUAAAGCGUGCGCAGGCGGUGAUGUAAGACAGAUGUGAAAUCCCCGGGCUCAACCUGGGAACUGCAUUGGUGACUGCAUUGCUGGAGUGCGGCAGAGGGGGAUGGAAUUCCGCGUGUAGCAGUGAAAUGCGUAGAUAUGCGGAGGAACACCGAUGGCGAAGGCAAUCCCCUGGGCCUGCACUGACGCUCAUGCACGAAAGCGUGGGGAGCAAACAGGAUUAGAAACCCUUGUAGUCC